UCCGGUUUGACACCGGCAGUCUCGCUAGAGUACUCACCAUUACGCGUGAGCAACUAACGACAGGGGUUGCGCUCGUUAAGGGACUUAACCCGACACUUCACAGCACGAGCUGACGACAGCCAUGCAGCACCUGUGCGGGCUCCCGAAGGAGCGCCGUGUUUCCACGGUUUCACCCCGCAUGUCAAGCCCUAGUAAGGUUCUUCGCGUUGCAUCGAAUUAAAGAACAUGCUCCGCUGCUUGUGCGGGCCCCCGUCAAUUCCUUUGAGUUUUAGCCUUGCGGCCGUACUCCCCAGGCGGGACACUUAUCGCGUUGGCUUCGGCACGGACAGAUUCGACUCCGCCCACACCUAGUGUCCAUCGUUUACGGCGUGGACUAC
rnacentral:misc_RNA from 1 species